rnacentral:tRNA from 1 species
UUUUAAGUAACCUAGUUAAAGGUGCUAAGCUUUUAACUUAGUUAUGGUAUAAGUUUUACCCUUGGAAU